GCCAGCGUGGUGUAGUGCUUUGCACAUUGGACAAUGACUUGGGAGUCUAGGGUUCGAUUCCCUGCUCAGUCA